UACGAAGGGGGCUAGCGUUGCUCGGAAUUACUGGGCGUAAAGGGCGCGUAGGCUGCACUGUUAGUCAGGCGUGAAAGUCCUGGGCUCAACCUGGGAACUGCGCUUGAUACGGCAGAGCUAGAGGAUGGAAGAGGCUCGCGGAAUUCCCAGUGUAGAGGUGAAAUUCGUAGAUAUUGGGAAGAACACCGGUGGCGAAGGCGGCGAGCUGGUCCAUUACUGACGCUGAGGCGCGACAGCGUGGGGAGCAAACAGG
rnacentral:rRNA from 1 species